UUUCCGGCUGUCUGUUCGUGGCUGAGAAUAUGUCACUAGGAAGCUGAACGGACAAUCUGUCUGCAUGGACAGGGCUGGGUGAUGGCUGAGAGAAGGGUUCCGUCUUCCUUGAGCAUGUUGCCACCCCCUAGAAAUGGGGAUCCUAUAACUUGAAGAUGGAAAGAGAAGGUAACCAGAGUUCAAGAGAGUAAAGAACAGAAGAGGGAAUGCUGUAUCAAUAAGAAUUACAUAAACAGAUGAACUUCUUUCUCCAGCACAGAAUUCAUGUAAUAGCUAGAUGAUUUGGGUAUCACUUUGCAAUUCAAAACCUGAGACUUCCAAAGAUGCUUCUUGAUUUGAUGUUCCAGGUGGCUGAGAAGAAAUGGACAUUAAGUGAUUGCUUGUGGCUUUGAAAGGUCAUGAUCCACUUCCUUCAGCAGGCUGGAGAAUGUCAAACUGCACCUGAACGUUAAGCAUCAUAUUUUUCUGGUUAUAGAUGCAAAUCAUGUGACAGUGGCAAGCAGCUCAUUCUCAUGCAUGUCCAAUGUUGAAUUAAGGCAGAGCUCCAAGCUGAUGGGCACUUCUGUGACCGGCAUUCAGAGGUG
rnacentral:lncRNA from 1 species